CGAGUGAAGCGGCAACAGCUCAAAUUUGAAAUCUGGCUCCUUUGGGGCCCGAGUUGUAAUUUGUAGAGGGCACUUCGGCGUUGGCUCCGGCCUAAGUUCCUUGGAACAGGACGUCACAGAGGGUGAGAAUCCCGUACGUGGCCGGUCGCCUUCGCCAUGUGAAGUCCCUUCGACGAGUCGAGUUGUUUGGGAAUGCAGCUCUAAAUGGGAGGUAAAUUUCUUCUAAAGCUAAAUAUUGGCCAGAGACCGAUAGCGCACAAGUAGAGUGAUCGAAAGAUGAAAAGCACUUUGGAAAGAGAGUCAAAAAGCACGUGAAAUUGUUGAAAGGGAAGCGCUUGCAGCCAGACUUGCCUGUAGUUGCUCAUCCGGGCUCUUGCCCGGUGCACUCUUCUGCUGGCAGGCCAGCAUCAGUUUGGGCGGCCGGAUAAAGGCCCUGGGAAUGUGGCUCUCUCCGGGGAGUGUUAUAGCCCAGGGUGUCAUGCGGCCAGUCUGGACUGAGGUCCGCGCAUCUGCUAGGAUGCUGGCGUAAUGGCUGUAAGCGGCCCGUCUUGAAACACGGACCAAGGAGUCUAACAUCUAUGCGAGUGUUUGGGUGUCAAGCCCGGGCGCGUAAUGAAAGUGAACGGAGGUGGGAACCCCCUGGGGUGCACCAUCGACCGAUCCUGAUGUCUUCGGAUGGAUUUGAGUAAGAGCAUAGCUGUUGGGACCCGAAAGAUGGUGAACUAUGCCUGAAUAGGGUGAAGCCAGAGGAAACUCUGGUGGAGGCUCGCAGCGGUUCUGACGUGCAAAUCGAUCGUCAAA
rnacentral:rRNA from 1 species